AGUGGGGGAUAACGUAGCGAAAGUUACGCUAAUACCGCAUAUGCCCUGAGGGGGAAAGGAGGGGAUCGUAAGACCUUUCGCUUUCGGAGUGGCCGAUAUCAGAUUAGCUAGUUGGUGGGGUAAAGGCCCACCAAGGCGACGAUCUGUAGCGGGUCUGAGAGGAUGAUCCGCCACACUGGGACUGAGACACGGCCCAGACUCCUACGGGAGGCAGCAGUGGGGAAUUUUGGACAAUGGGGGCAACCCUGAUCCAGCCAUGCCGCGUGAGUGAAGAAGGCCUUCGGGUUGUAAAGCUCUUUCGGACGGAAAGAAAUCCUAUUCGCUAAUACCGGGUGGGGAUGACGGUACCGUAAGAAGAAGCACCGGCUAACUACGUGCCAGCAGCCGCGGUAAUACGUAGGGUGCGAGCGUUAAUCGGAAUUACUGGGCGUAAAGCGUGCGCAGGCGGUUUUGUAAGACAGAUGUGAAAUCCCCGGGCUUAACCUGGGAACUGCAUUUGUGACUGCAAGGCUAGAGUGCGGCAGAAGGGGGUAGAAUUCCA
rnacentral:rRNA from 1 species